rfam:Klebsiella sp. RIT-PI-d NODE_9_length_82592_cov_38.342_ID_17, whole genome shotgun sequence.
CAACAGUUGCUGUUUAAUGCUACACCAACAUGCCAGGCCUAUUCCUGUGGAGUUAAAUAUGAGCGAUAAAAUUAUUCACCUGACUGAC